AGGUGCGAUCAUACCAACUCUAAUGCAUCGGAUCCCAUCGGAGCUCCGAAGUUAAGCGUGCUUGGGUGAGAGUAGCACUAGGAUGGUCUUUGUCACAGGACUUUCAUAGACACAGGCA
rnacentral:rRNA from 1 species